rnacentral:lncRNA from 1 species
UGAAAGAGUCGAUGAGGAACAACUUCAAUGAAGAAAGCAUGCCGAUCUAAACAAUAGAAAAUGGAGUUUCGAAGCUCACAACAAAUCUGACGGGUUGACAGAAAAAUAAUAACCAGUCAUUCAUCAUACCUGAAUUUCUUGAGUUAUACAGCUCCGAGGGAUCUCAAUUUUGAAUAUGUUGUAGUUCACGAGCUGAGGAACAACUUCAAUGAAGGAAGCAUACCGAUCUGAACCAGAGAAAAUGGAGUUUCGAAGCUCACAACAAAUCUGACGGGUUGACAGAAAAAUAAUAACCAGUCAUUCAUCAUACCUGGAUUUCUGGUGUUAUACUGCUCCGAGGGAUCUCAAAUUUGGAUAUGUUGUAGUUCACAAGCUGAGGAACAACUUUCAUGAAGAUGGUUUUGCGAUUUGAGCCACAGAAAAUGGUGUUAUAUUGAUUGUUAAUGGCCAUGGCAACCUUUUCAGCAAAAAUGGUAAAGCAAAGCAAAAGAAAAGCUAAAGGAAGACAAAAUCAUGGCACAUGAUAAUGAGUCAUACCCUACCCCUCAUUGGAUUCGCAUACACCCAUCCUCCAAAAUCAUGACAAAGGCCACAUUAUAGAUAACAAAAAAAAAAAAAAAAAAAAAAAGGGCCUAGGCCUCCACUUCUUUGGGCCUAACACAUCUUCAUAACAAAAAACAAUAUAUGAAGAAAGAGCCCUGGGUUACCACUUCGAAAAGAAACAAGUGAAGUUUUCCUACUCAUGACAUUGACUACUAGCUAGACACCUCAUUCGUCAACUCCCUCGACUGGAGACUUGGG